rnacentral:rRNA from 1 species
ACAUCCAAGGAAGGCAGCAGGCGCGCAAAUUACCCACUCCCGGCACGGGGAGGUAGUGACGAAAAAUAACGAUACGGGACUCAUCCGAGGCCCCGUAAUCGGAAUGAGUACACUCUAAACCCUUUAACGAGGAUCAAUUGGAGGGCAAGUCUGGUGCCAGCAGCCGCGGUAAUUCCAGCUCCAAUAGCGUAUAUUAAAGUUGUUGCGGUUAAAAAGCUCGUAGUCGAAUCUGUGUCGCGCGCCGCCGGUUCAUCGCUCGCGGUGUUUAACUGGCGUGUCCGCGGGACGUCCUGCCGGUGGGCUUAGCCCCUCGGGGCGGCCCAACUUGAAAUCCCACCGCGGUGCUCUUCACUGAGUGUCGAGGUGGGCCGGCACGUUUACUUUGAACAAAUUAGAGUGCUUAAAGCAGGCUAAAACUUCGCCUGAAUACUGUGUGCAUGGAAUAAUGGAAUAGGACCUCGGUUCUAUUUUGUUGGUUUUCGGAACCCCGAGGUAAUGAUUAAUAGAAACGGAUGGGGGCAUUCGUAUUGCGACGUUAGAGGUGAAAUUCUUGGAUCGUCGCAAGACGGACAGAAGCGAAAGCAUUUGCCAAAAACGCUUUCAUUGAUCAAGAACGAAAGUUAGAGGUUCGAAGGCGAUCAGAUACCGCCCUAGUUCUAACCAUAAACGAUGCCAGCUAGCGAUCCGCCGACGUUCCUCCGAUGACUCGGCGGGCAGCUUCCGGGAAACCAAAGCUUUUGGGUUCCGGGGGAAGUAUGGUUGCAAAGCUGAAACUUAAAGGAAUUGACGGAAGGGCACCACCAGGAGUGGAGCCUGCGGCUUAAUUUGACUCAACACGGGAAACCUCACCAGGCCCGGACACCGGAAGGAUUGACAGAUUGAGAGCUCUUUCUUGAUUCGGUGGGUGGUGGUGCAUGGCCGUUCUUAGUUGGUGGAGCGAUUUGUCUGGUUAAUUCCGAUAACGAACGAGACUCUAGCCUGCUAACUAGGCGUAUUUUCGACAUCUCAAAGGCCCGCCGGCUCGGCGCAUCCGUGCCGUGGUCGCGCGUGGUUUUUACUGUCGGCGUACAAUCAAUUCUUCUUAGAGGGACAGGCGGCUUCUAGCCGCACGAGAUUGAGCAAUAACAGGUCUGUGAUGCCCUUAGAUGUUCUGGGCCGCACGCGCGCUACACUGAAGGAAUCAGCGUGUCCUCCCUGGCCGAGAGGCCCGGGUAACCCGCUGAACCUCCUUCGUGCUAGGGAUUGGGGCUUGCAAUUGUUCCCCAUGAACGAGGAAUUCCCAGUAAGCGCGAGUCAUAAGCUCGCGUUGAUUACGUCCCUGCCCUUUGUACACACCGCCCGUCGCUACUACCGAUUGAAUGAUUUAGUGAGGUCUUCGGACCGGUACGCGGCGGCGCUCCCGCGUCGCCGAUGUUGCUGGGAAGAUGACCAAA